GGAAAAGCCUCAUUGGAUUCUGUUUUAUUAGGCAGAAGGAGGUUCUUGGAAGGACAGCAUUAAGAAGUUCAUAGAAUUAAUGAACCACUAUAAAACCAGGCCGGGUUACAGAGAGAACUAAGAAAGCUGCAGAGCUCAAAAAAACAGGAAGAUUGUGCUCACAGAGAGCCCACUUAGGUGAAUGUAUCCCACCUUCUAAAUCUACCCAACUGGAGGGCAGGGAUGCAAGUCUUCUGUUAUCCACGGUGGGAGCCAGGCACCUGGAUUCACUAUCACACCAAGACCUGAUGGAAGGAAGGCAUGGGGAUGGAUGCUGAGUGCCCAAACACUGACUUUGAAGCGAUGACACAUUGCUUGCUAGGGCUGGAUUUCACACUGAAGAAUGACAGCAGAAGCCUUGCCUCACAAAAGGCACCAAACAGACCUUCCUACCUGCCCACGUUUUCCGUCUCGCUUGACAGCACCAGGCUGGACAAUUCACCUGCUGAUUAAAGUUAACAUAUUCUUCAUGGCACUCUGGGUCAUAAAAGGGAAUUAAAGUUGUGAUGGGAUGCAUGAGACCAGGAGGAUGACUCUGAUUCAGUCCCCUAAGAUGGAACUAAGAGAAGCAGUCCAUAAGUCUUGGGGGAAUUCUCUCUCUACCAUUGUGUAUCUGACGUAUUGUUUUAACAGCCAUGUAAAAUUGGAUCUGACUCUACUUACUCCAGAAAUAAUAUUUGUUGAUCACAGGGCACUACACAAUGAUUCAUGGUACAGACAAUCUGGUUGUCAUAUUUUCAUGUUUGCCAGACACUGUUGCUUCAAACCACUUGUACCCUUGAUAAAUGAAAGUGUGUGUGAAUCUCCCAAAAGUAUGUUAAAUAAACAC
rnacentral:lncRNA from 1 species